rnacentral:rRNA from 1 species
UACGUAGGGUGCAAGCGUUGUCCGGAAUUAUUGGGCGUAAAGAGCUCGUAGGCGGUUUGUCGCGUCUGCUGUGAAAAUCCAGGGCUUAACCCUGGACCUGCAGUGGGUACGGGCAGACUAGAGUGCGGUAGGGGAGAUCGGAAUUCCUGGUGUAGCGGUGAAAUGCGCAGAUAUCAGGAGGAACACCGAUGGCGAAGGCAGUGGGCUGGGCCGGCACUGACGCUGAGGAGCGAAAGCGUGGGGAGCGAACAGG